rnacentral:rRNA from 1 species
AGAUUGAACGCUAGCGGGAUGCUUUACACAUGCAAGUCGAACGGCAGCGCGGACUUCGGUCUGGCGGCGAGUGGCGAACGGGUGAGUAAUAUAUCGGAACGUGCCCAGUAGCGGGGGAUAACUACGCGAAAGCGUGGCUAAUACCGCAUACGCCCUACGGGGGAAAGGGGGGAUUCUUCGGAACCUCUCACUAUUGGAGCGGCCGAUAUCAGAUUAGCUAGUUGGUGAGGUAAAGGCUACACCGAAGGCGACGAUCUGUAGCUGGUUUGAGAGGACGACCAGCCACACGUGGACUGAGACACGGCCCUAGACUCGUACGGGAGCAGCGAGUGGGUAAUUUGGACAAGUCGGGGAAACCUGAUCCGAGCCAAUCCCGAGUGU